UACGAAGGGGGCUAGCGUUGCUCGGAAUCACUGGGCGUAAAGGGUGCGUAGGCGGGUCUUUUAAGUCAGGGGUGAAAUCCUGGAGCUCAACUCCAGAACUGCCUUUGAUACUGAAGAUCUUGAGUUCGGGAGAGGUGAGUGGAACUGCGAGUGUAGAGGUGAAAUUCGUAGAUAUUCGCAAGAACACCAGUGGCGAAGGCGGCUCACUGGCCCGGUACUGACGCUGAGGUGCGAAAGCGUGGGGAGCGAACCGGG
rnacentral:rRNA from 1 species